rnacentral:rRNA from 1 species
CAGUAGCCGCGGGAAUACAGAGGGUGCAAGCGUUAAUCGGAAUUACUGGGCGUAAAGCGCGCGUAGGUGGUUUGUUAAGUUGGAUGUGAAAUCCCCGGGCUCAACCUGGGAACUGCAUCAAAAACUGGCAAGCUAGAGUAUGGUAGAGGGUGGUGGAAUUUCCUGUGUAGCGGUGAAAUGCGUAGAUAUAGGAAGGAACACCAGUGGCGAAGGCGACCACCUGGACUGAUACUGACACUGAGGUGCGAAAGCGUGGGGAGCAAACAGGAUUAGAUACCCCAGUAGUCCCUGUCUCUUAUAC